CCUGACUUGUAAGGGGCAGGGCGACAGCUGUAAGGGGGUGCCCGCAGGGUGAGGGAGCUGACGGGAGGUCUUCUGUCUCCAGCAGGGCAGGGGGACUCCCUGGAGAAGCUGGCCACGCUGGUGUCGCUUGGGGUCUUCGCCUUCUUUGCCCUGGUGGCCCUGCUGCUCUUCGCCUUCCUGGUGUGGAUCCGGGCGAAGAGGCAGAGCAAAGAGGCCGACAAGCACCAGGAGCUGCUCUCAGCUGCCACCCACCUGAAGGCCUUGCCCAAAGGCCAGAUCUUGUAGCACAGCUCUUCCUGUGCUUGGCAGAGCAGCCUCCUCCCCCAGGCAGGGGACCAUGGACCUCACCCACUGCAGCUGCUGUUGAUUCUCCAGGGCACGUGACCCGGGCACCCGGCCCUGCCCAGCCACCCUGGACCUGCGCUGCUUAUCUGCCGGAAGUUGGCAUCGGAGGCCCAGCGGGUCCCACCCUCGGCUGCAAACAGGCUGCCUGCCAGAGGCUGCGGAGUUUGGACUCGUCCGGGAGCUGCCAGUGGGAGAAGGGCUGCUGUCGGCUGAGCCAGCCCCUGGCACCACCCGUCUCUCCCGGGAAGCCGAAGCUCAGCAGACUGGGGGGCGGGGGGGACCGGGCUCCCCGGGACGGCCUUGCUGAGAGAGAGAGAGAGAGAGAGCACAGCCUGGCAGGACACCCGAAAGAGCCUUUGGCACAAGGGGAGAAGGACAGCUGACCAGAAGUGACGGCUGAGGCCUCCCUGUAUGCCAGUUGUGGGGCUGUGUGUGUGCGUGUGUGUGUGUUUGUGUGCGGACACAUCUGUGCUUGGUUUGGUUCAGAGAAUUAAAUUUCAAAUUUUUUUAAUGAA